CAAAGUUUGAAACAGUACUUCGAAACUAUUAAUUUCGACAUGGGAGCGUUAUUAUCUUCUCCCUACUUAGAAAAAGCAAACACCAAAAAAGAAACCUGCUCCGGCCGUGAUGUACGAGGGAAUUUAAUUUGGUGUGUGAGUAGCAUGCAAGGAUGGAGAAGAUUUAUGGAGGAUAGCCAUAGCAUUGAAUUAAUGGAGGAAGCAGCACCGGGAAUUUAUGCAGUUUUUGAUGGCCACGGCGGUAGAGAAGUUGCACUGUUUUGCAGUAACUACUUUGUGAGAGAGUUAAAAUCUCUUCCAUCUUUUAAAGAAGGGAACUACCAAGAAGCUAUACGUCAAACUUUUCAUAAAAUAGACCAAUUGUUAACUGAUGAGAAUUAUAUUGAAGAACUUGAAGCUCUUCGCCAUC